ACAAUAGCACAAAGCUGCCCCAGGGAAGGGUCCUCUUCCAAGCUUGCUCAGUGGCUGUGGGCUGGAUUGAGCUCUUCACUAGCUACUGAACUGAGGGCCUCAGUUUCUCAGAGGCUGUUACCCAAAGGCCUCCCUCAGCUCCCUGCCAUAUGGGCCUCUCCACAGGGCAACUCACCAUAUGGUGGCUGGCUUCACCAGAGCAAGCAAACAAGAAGAGCCCGAGAGAAGACUAACAAGCUGGAAGUCACCAUCCGUCCAACCUAAUCUCGGAAGUGACAUCUCAUCACUCUUGCUGUAUUCUAUCAGGUAGAAGCAAGUCACCAGGUCCAGCCCACCUGCAAGGGGAGGGAAGAGCAAAGCUGUGACCACCAAGAGGAGGAAGAAAUGAUGUCUUCCGGGGAGGCUGCCGGGGCUUCUGUGAGGUCCAGCAAUGAGUUGGAGGCACCAGCACUGCACUGAAAUCAAUGUCUCCCAAGACGGAGAAUGCCUGGGGAGGCAGGAGCUCCGCUCCCCUGCAGGAACCUCCCAAGAAGGACCCGAGCGUCCCCGCAGCCUGGAGACUGGCCGUCUGCGGUUGAGCACCCGGGACCUGCUCCAGGUGCUUCUUGGCCAUAUUUACUUCCCCGGCUCCGGGUGCGUCAGGCCGACUGCCCACGUGCAGCUGGGUUUCCUCUGUUUAGCUGCAUCCACAGGGGUCAUGUAUCCGUAUCGGUCUUUCUAAGGGGAGCUCUGUGGUUUUAUUCAUUCAUUCAUUCAUUCAUUCACCCACGCAUCUACUGAGCACCUACUACAUAUCAUGAACUGUCCUAGGCACUAAUGAAUAACACCAAACGUGCUCAUUGUAACAGUCUCUGAUGAUUGCUAAGAUCACGUGGAAGAAAGCAAAAACCGUCAGCCUCAUGGUCAUGUGAGCAAAGCCUGUGCCCUGACCCACCCACCGCCAGCCCCAUGAGCUCUGGCAACCCCAGGAUCUCACUGAGCCUCGGUUUCUGUAUCUGUAGAAUGGGGAUAAUGAUGGUGAGGGCCCAGGUUUGCAGACAGAAGGGACAUGCGGUAGGGCCCCAGGCCAGGUUUCUGCCCUCCCACCCCCUUCCCUUCAUGCCCAUUCUCUGGGAGAAAAAAAAAAAUGCUGUUUUAAAAUCACCAGGUAUUCUCCAAU
rnacentral:lncRNA from 1 species